rnacentral:RNase_P_RNA from 1 species
UUAGGGAUUAAGGGAACCGCUGCAUUUGCAGAGGAAAGUCCGGACUCCUUCGGAAACGAUGCCGGCUAACGGCCGGGGAACGGAAAUUAAAGUUUCCGUUUACAGACAGUGCAACAGAAAGUAAACCGCCGCAUUUUGCGGUAAGGGUGAAAGGGCGGGGUAAGAGCCCACCGCGUUUUCGGUAACGGAAACGGCAAUGUAAACCUCAUCGGGAGCAAGGUUAAGCAGUAAAGAAUCUCCGAUUCUUAAUUUACGGGUUAACCGCGAUAAAAACUUGCUGUAAAGCUGGUUUAAGAAAGAUGGUUCCGUCUGUUUUACAGAAACAGAAUCCGGCUUAUUAAUCCCUUUUUAU